ensembl:lncRNA
CUUCAGUACAAUACAGGCUAUAUGAGUUGCUUAAACAAGUCUAAAUGACCUUAAUUCAAGUUAAAGCUGUCCAUAGCUUUUCUAAACAUAGCUUUGGCUUUACCGACUGAAACUCAAAGAGGGCGCCGAACGGACUUUUGUUUUGAAAAUGAACCGGAAGUGCAUUGUCGCUGACUGACGUGUGGGUGGGCUUCCCCCGGGCUGACUUCUAGCACACAAACAAACAAAUAAACUGCGGAUAUUACAGCCGACAGACAGACAGCCCUCUGGAGUAGACAGACAGACAGACAGACCGACUGACAGCCCUCUGGUGGAGACCGACUCCUCUACAGAAGCGGACUGAACACCACUGUAACUCCAUGGAGCGAUGCUUUAGCCAACCUCCUGACCCCUAGACGACCUCCUGACCUCCAGACUACCUGGUUUGACUUGGCCCCAGUGACCCCUAGACGACCUCUGACCUCUUCCCCGUCUCCCUCCCAGCGUCAGCGGCGACUGCACCGCCCCCUCCCUGGCUGGCCGCGCCCCCCCGGCC